UUCCUGGGGAAGCUGCUGUGCGCAGUCGCGGCGCUGAAGGCGGCUCUGUACCUGCUCCGCAGAGUGUGCCUAGCGAUGGCCUGGAAGUCGGGCGGCGCCAGCCACUCCGAGCUCAUCCACAACCUCCGCAAAAAUGGAAUAAUCAAGACAGACAAGGUAUUUGAAGUAAUGCUGGCUACAGACCGUUGCCACUAUGCAAAAUACAACCCUUACAUGGACUCUCCACAGUCUAUAGGUUUCCAAGCAACAAUCAGUGCUCCACAUAUGCAUGCAUAUGCACUUGAACUUCUGUCUGAUCAGUUACAUGAAGGAGCCAAAGCACUUGAUGUAGGAUCUGGAAGUGGAAUUCUUACAGCAUGCUUUUCGCGAAUGGUUGGUCCCAAAGGACAAGUUGUAGGAAUUGAUCAUAUCAAAGAACUAGUAGAUGACUCAAUAAAUAAUGUCAAAAAAGACGAUCCCACAUUGCUGUCUUCAGGAAGAGUGAAACUGAUUGUGGGAGAUGGACGAAUGGGAUAUGCAGAAGAAGCUCCCUAUGAUGCGAUACAUGUUGGAGCUGCAGCCCCGGUUGUGCCCCAAGCACUUAUAGACCAGUUAAAACCUGGCGGAAGAUUGAUAUUACCAGUUGGCCCUGCUGGGGGAAACCAGAUGCUCGAACAGUAUGACAAACUAGAAGAUGGCAGUGUCAAAAUGAAGCCUCUGAUGGGAGUGAUAUAUGUGCCUUUAACAGAUAAAGAGAAGCAGUGGUCCAGGUGGAAGUGAUUUUCUGUUCCACUUACUUCUUCCACACACAUUCAAGGUGAAAGGGUGUGAAUUUUAAGCAGAUAGACUGCAAGGCCUGCCUUUGCUGCUGUCAUUGCUUUCUGCUCCUCCAUACCAUGAAAAGUGACUCAGUCUGCAUUACUACAUCACCCAAAGGAGGUUAUGCUAAGUUUGAGCUAAAUUAAAAGCAGAAGAAAAAUAUUGCAUGGGUUGCACUUUGUCAUUUUUGGACAUGUUUUCUUUAGUUUUUGGUGUUUUGAAGAUUCUUAAUUGUUGUUUUAAACACAGUAUUUUCUAAGGCUAAACUUCACUUUUAAUGAACUUUUUAUAACUAUUUUGCCCAAUAAUUAGGGUGAAGUGUAAAAUUUUACUUAAUAAAUACUGUUUUGUCCUUUAAGUUAGUGGUAAUUGGGUGUUCAUUUUUUAUUUUCCUGAAACACUGCAAAUGAAGAAAAAUCUUUGCAAAAUCCUUUGUGGAAAAUGUAGGUGAUCUUGCUAGCACUUUUUCUUUAGCCCCCAAAUAGCAAAAAGUAGAGGAGAUAAUUCUUUCUUCCCUAAAGUAUAAAUGUAGUUGAGUAGUGUCCAGAAAAUUUUCUCAGCUGUGUUAUUAGAAGUCUGUCAUCUGUCUCUGAUGGGACAGUAUUUGUGUUUGCCAAUACAUCAAACUCUAAAGGCCUUUCUAGAAGUAGGAAACCUUCCAGUUUGCUGAAUUGAAUAGCCAGUAAUAAAUAAAUAAAUAAAGAGAUGUAAUGCAGCUGUCAGCUUAAGCCAUGGUAGGCAUUAGUAUGUGAAUGAACAAAGCAGCAGUGCUCUUUUGCUUCCUGGCAGAAAGUGCUUGUGAAUGUAUUAUUGGCAUUAGCGAAGUGCAGAGAUGUGCACUGAGCUCUGAAAACAACUCUUGAGCUUUAUAAUCUAAAUUUAGAUUUUUGGCUUUUUUCCCUUGAUAUUCUGGAGUAUAGCUUGUGAUUUGAAUACAUGAAUACUUAGUCUAACAUAUCAAAAUAUUCAUAAAAAGUACAAAUAAAGUAUUUUGCAUACUGUUGCUUAGUGAAACCCCAUUUCAGUGUUUCUUGGAUUACUAUAUAGCCACCAUGUACAAAUGACUCUUAAAACAACUUCAGUGAGGUACUGCUUAGUUCAAAGCUUGUGAAGCAUGCUUGUUAUUCAGAUGUUUUGCAUUUGUUAUGCAAAUGAAUGCUUUGGCCUCGAAUAUCGCCAGUAUUCCCUCAGUGUGGUACUCAGGGGUUUCCUGCCUCUUGUAAGGCUUUGGAAGCUUUCCUUUGUGGUUGGUUUCCUCCUUUGGCAAAUGUUUUAUUUAAGUUUGGAGUCCAUGCUUCACUUGCUCUAAAAAAGAGUAGUAAUCUUCUUAAGCCUUCCUUCUCUCAGAGAGGUUUCAUAGAUUUUUCUCCAUUUCAGGCUGAUCUGAUUAUAGUAGCAAUUGGAAUUUUUUUUGGUCGCAGCAGUGUAUGUUCAUAAAACACUUUAGGAAGGGUUUCUCAAAAGUGUUUAUGCCUUGCUACAAGUGAAGGUGGUGUGUACUGUGUUACGGACUAGAAUUCUGAGUUUUUUACAUCUGUUUGGUGCAGUUUGUUAUUUCAUUUUGUCUGCCAGCUUGGGAAGAGCUAGUAAUUUGUCUUUGAGCCUUCUUCAGUCAUGCAUCUUGUAGGGUUAUUUUCUCCAGAAAUUCAUACCAGUUCCUGUGCUUUUAUGAUACACUUCUUGAUUUUAUUUAUUUAUUUAUAAUUUAAGAAUUUACAGUGGUGUUACCAGAAAAUAUAAGUGCUUAGCCUGAAGGGUUUGUCUGCAAUGGCAUAGAGGCUGUAUCUUCCUAUGCACGUUUAAAUUUUGUUCCAUCUUGGAACCCUCUGUUAAAGAAAAUCUCAGAAGUCCACUUCUUGUAAUGUUUGGUAUUUCUUUCGUUGUCUUUUUUGUGAUCUGAAUAAAAUUCCCAUUCUGUUUUCUAGGAUAACUGUCAGUGUACUGCUGACCUUUCAGAAGGUCACAUUUUUUUGUUGUUGUUUUUUUUUUCUUGUUGGUGACUAUGAAGUGUAUGGUCAGCCAGCUGCUGCUAAGGAAAUUCCUAAUUAUAAGUCAGCAUUUGCUAUCUCUGCUGGCAUCAAAAAUGAAAGAGGUGUUUUUUCUUCACUUCCUAGAUUUCAGUUUUUCUUUUCUAAAUGGCUCAAGAUCUGUGAGCAAUUCGUUGCUGUACAUCAAAAAUUCAUUAAACAAUAAUCAUGUUAAGAUUAGCUCAAUUCUGUGUGUUUAGUUUGUCAUUCUUUUAGUUUACAUUAUGUGAUUUCAUUCCUAAUGCAGGUAACUCUUCCAUUACAUUGAAUGAAGAAUUGGUGUCCCUUCACAGAAUAGAAUUGAUAGGCCAGCAGCAUUUUCCUAGGCUAGCAGACCUUCCAGUUGGCAGGAAAGAAACUGUUUAAAUUUUUGCUGAGCCAUUCACGUUUUGGAAUGUUCUUUAAUGGGGCUGCAGGGUGCUUUUGCAAAGCAGCACAACACUCUUAAGUGGUCUUUGAAGUCAAACCUAUCUUGGUACUGUGUAUCAUACUUCACUAUGUAAAACUGCAAUCUUGUAGCAAAAGGAAAUCUGGACUAGCUGGAAGGAAAAGAUUACUUGAAUUUCAAUACAUUGCUAAAUAAAGCAUCUUAUUUGUGAAUACUGUUCAAUUUCUUUAAAUUUAGGCUGUGACUUUCUAGUUUUGGUUCAGUUACAGUCAUAUUUUAUUAAGCUCCCAAUAUUAGUGGAAAUCAUCUCAAAUGUCCCUGGGACAUUUAGAAGUAGAAUAUACACAGGAACCCUAUUUUUGGUACAAAACAAUACAAAGUAGUGCGCCAGAGAUCCAGCAGCCAAUGCCUAGAUAUGUGUUUAUAUUGAUAAGGAUAUCCUUUCAUAUAAAACUUACCAAUUUUUUUGGGUAUUUUUACUGAAAAAUAGGAUGGAGGGAGGACCUCUUGUGCUGCACAGUUGGGAACAUGGCUUGAUGGCUGCCUUAUUGGCAGAUCUUGUAUAAACUAGGAUCUCUGGUUUUACUUCUCUGUGAGAGUUCACCUACUACUUAUUUGGAAAAACGAUUUCAAAAGUCACAGGAUCAUGGUAUUAUUUAGGAUAGAAAACACAUUUAAGGUCAUUGAGUCUGACUGUUAACCCUGUGCUGCCAAGUCCACCACUAAACCAUUUUCUCAAGGGCUACUGCUAUACAUCUUUUAAAUACCUCCAGAGGAUACCUUGUCCUGCUGGCCACCCUGUUGCUUAUACAGAGGCAUAAGAGAGUAACAAUGUAAAUAACACUUAGCAAUGGGUCUGCAUUUUGGAUUUGAUUACCAGACAGGCAGCUGUUUAAAAAUGUUAACAACUGCUUUUCUCUUAGAUAUUGUAUUAGUAUAAAUUAUUUAUAAAUGUUAUGCUAAACUCAUCUUUUCUGAUAAAAUACAAAAUUAUAAUGACAGUAUUACCCUUCUGAGCAAAAACUUCAGUGACUGAACUCGACUGUUAAUGUAUCCCACUUACUGGUACAUAAACCACGAUUAAAAACACAGCCUUUUGGAAAAUGUAUUUAUUAGGAUAUAUUUUUAUAUGUUUCUGCUUCAAAACUCUUACUCAGUGUUUCAAGUGCCCCUGACAAUCUAGUUGACCAAUUUAAUUUGAAAUUAACAGGUACUGUUUGCUGGAAUUCUCAGGCCAUGCAGAAUAAUGAUUAUGGUUCAGGUGCUUAUUUUACUUUGGCUAAAAGAAUCUCUGCACAGAACGUUUCAGUUUAAAUUUAAGAAUUAGGUAUUAUUGUGGUGGUUUGACCCUGACUGAAUGCCAAGUGCUCACCAAAGCCUCUCUCUCCACAACUAGACAGAGGAAAAAGAACUCAACAGAAGGCUCAUGAGUUAAGGACAGGAAGAGGUCACUCACCAGUUACCACCAUGGGUACAACAGACUUGACUUGGGGAUAUUAAUUGAAAUUAUUGCCAAGCAAAAUCAAAGCAGGAUAAUGAGAGGGAUGAAUUGUAAAAGCUACAUCAUCUUGACCCAAACAUAGUGUUACAGUGGACUGCUCAUCUCCAGUUCUAAAAGCUUUUUGAAAACCAACAGCAUUGCAGCUUGUUUUGGACUUCGUUAUACUGUUGUUAUCAGCAUGGAAAAGCGUGAUGUUUGUUUUAUUUUUUUAGAUGCUCAAGGCAAAUCUGAUAAAGAAAUGGUGGAAAGUUUUAUGUGGGCACUGUUUUAUUUAACAUGCCUUUAUUUCACUUUCAUCUGUUCAAAGUGAAUUUCUGCAGAACUGCAGAUAAAGACCUAUAGCUUGUGAACUUUAAAUUUGAUGGAGGAACUUGAACACUCACUUCUCUCGGCUCCUGUGUCCCUUGGUAAAACUGCUUCUGUGCACCUUACGACACUCUGUAGGUAUUACCAGGUUUUCUGUGUUCCAACGUCUUCUAGAUGCUACUAAAAGGAGAUGAACUUCCUUUCUAAGCUUUUGACAUGGUGUCAUAGACUAGCAUGUAGUAGAUACAAUCAGCUGCUUUUUUACCUUAAAACCAGGCAUUUGUAUAUAUACAAUUUCAGGACAUCAGAGGUAGGUAGCUGCUCUUAUCAAACAUUGCUAUUCAAGCUGGACAUAACAGACAUGGUUUUCCCCUUCCUUCUAAAAUUGAUUAAUGUAAUCUUGAAAUUCUCUUGUGGUUUAUAGCUCGGUGCUGGUGUGAUAUACAUGGAUCUAACUCCAUAAAUGUGAAGUGAGGUGUGUUCCAACCACUGAAAAAUUUACACAAUGCUGCUUUGCCAAAUAAAAGUAAAAGGGGGGUUUUGUGCUUGUGUGGAAGAUUAGGAUGGGUAGGUAGUCUGAGAUAUGGAUUUCUAGGUUUUUUGUUAAAAACCAAAACCCCCUUUGGUUCUAAAAGAAAGUUGCUUUUGGCAAAGCCAUUUGCUGUAUUAACAUCCUUAUUUUUAUAACAGUGGGCAUCCAGGAAAAAUUCUGGCUUUUUAGAAAGUGAAUUCUAAAUUGCUGUAAUAGGAACACAUCGUGCAUGCAUGAAGAGUCCUGGACUCCUAAGUACAGAUAGAUGUACUUGUUCAGUUUUCAUACAGGAGAAUAGUUGGAAGGCUAUAAACCUUUUUUUCUGUUUUUGGUACUGUAAAAUGUCAACAGCAAAUUGUGAAGCAGUACAGUAAAGUGGGCUGCUUUGGGAAAGGGGGGAAGUGUGUCUUCAAUCAUCUUGCUCAUAUUUGAGCAGCCAGGAAUUAAAAUAAACAGGGAACGGGGCGGGAGGGGGGGUGUGUUUGUUUGUUGUUGUUUGGGGUUUUUUAUGAUAGGAAGGAUUGUAAAAUAAAACAACCCACAGAGAUCACUGGGAAAAAAACCAAAACAACUUUUUAUGGUGGAAGAAAUAAUUUAGGGAUAGGAUUAAUCCCUGGAAGCAUAAAGGUAAAAAUUCAAAAGUUUCUGAAUAUGGAAAAAGAACAUUUUAAAUAACCUGCCUUUUGAAGGCCAGCCCCAUUUUGUUCUUCUGUAAAAGAUACUAUAUGACUUAAUUUAUUUAGAUGUUUGGAUGUUAAUGUACCACCUCCUGAUCUGACUGCAGCCUGGGAGCACAUGCACAAGAUUAAUCUUAUAAAGAAAUUAAUAUAGCGCAUAUUGUAGAAAAUACAAUCCAGAAAAAUCCACUUGCGUCUGACAAAUUUGUACUAACCCACAAUCAACUGUGACUCUAGUUCUUGAUGUUGAAGUGAAAUAUCUUAAAUGAUGCAUGCUAACGUUCAACCUUUUGGUCGCUGUAUCUUUCAGUUUGAGUUCAGCUUUAUUUACAUCUUCUCACUAAUUUAAUCAGUUAAAUGAAAGAUAUGAGCUCAACUCUAUCCAAAAUCCUGUCUCUGGACACAGUGUAAUAAGCUAGCCUGACUUGGAAGUGGUGUUAAAGCUGAAACCCGAUGACAACUUCCUGGGGGAGAACCACUUCAGGAGGUGUAAGGCUUCAGGGACCAAGGCUGGUGGGAAUAGUGCACCCAUUCCACUAAAGGGGUGAUGAUAGUCAAGGUACUUGGACAGAAAGGAGUAUCCAGGAGUAGCAUUUAGGAGUCGAAAAUGGAAACUCCUCCAUGGUGGAGCAAUGGUUCUGAAGUAAAAACUUGGAGACAAGGACAAGUUGAAAUGCAGAAGACUGGAAGAGCUUGAAUAAAUGCUGUGUGAACUGUCUGAAUUGCUACUUUGCCAAAUAAAACAAAUUGAGAGGAAGCUGUA